UCUCUGCUGCUCCUGCAGCAAGAAGCUCAAGGAGGGCUAUCUGUGGGGGUAGUUUGAGGAACCUGAAUGAAGAACAAGCCAUUUAGGAAGAGCAGAAACACUGGAGCUGGAUUUCCCGGUUAUCUGUGCCUGGAGGAACAGACUCCAUGGGGAUCCUUUGCUGGUAAAUAAGGCCUGAACUUCCGCAUGCAGCCUACAGGCAUCUGUGAAGUCUUAGGUUCUCCACCCUCCUCCCAAAAAUCUCCCAGGAACAUCAUAUCGCUGAGAACUGCACUAGAUGUUUGGACAUGAAGCUGGGCAAGCUUUCAGAGGGCUGAGAGAGAUGCACAGAGUGCUAUCCCAUGACCUCUGUUCCAUUAGGAAACUUGGCUAAAAUGGACGGAUGCACUUGGAAACCGAAGUGGGAGCCCUUUCCAAAGGGGCUGGCCUGGCUGAGCGCAGUCUGCUUCAGAGCUAAGAUAAAGGGCACUAUAAAACCUGCAAAAGCCCCUGAACUGGCGUGCUGAGUCUCACCCUGGGCUCCAGGUCGGAGGGUUGCUGUGGCUCCAGCAGGGAGAUGAAACUGGGGCUGGGCCAGCUUGGGAGCCCAGCAUGCCUCCAUGGAUAUGGUGACUCCAGGCUCAGCCAUCUCUGCACGGCUCUCGCGGAACCCAGGGGUGACACCAGGCGAACACCAGUCCUGCACGGCUCCAGGAAUGUUUCCUAGGAGGUGUCUGACAUCCAGCUGCAGCCAAGGAUCAUCUCCAGCAGCUUGGCUUUUCUGCUGACCAUCACCCGCUGAAGAUCAUGCACCAGGAAAAGGUCAUAUAAUAGCCCCACAAGAAAAUACAUUGUUCCCCAACCCCCUCCUGAGCCUGCAGCAACGGGCUGAUGUUGAGCUGGAGCACGGUGCAUUAACCUGGGAUUACGAGAAGACUAACGAUCGCCCGUCCGGUGCUGUCAUCUCUCAGCGUGAUGGAUGCUUAAAGACUUUGCUGGCACGGUCCUGGAGGAUGGACCAGUGCAGCCGGUGUGUGUGAGGAGAAGCUGCCGGUGGGGAGAGGCAGUGAGCCUGGGCCCCGAAUCCCCAGCCCAAUUCAGGAAACCAUCAGCAUGAUGUGCAGCCCUAAUUAGGGGAAUAAACUUAGCAAAGAAUUCAAACAUAAAUUUGCGCUUGCUGAUUUCAGACUUCACACACAUUCAC